AUUGAACGCUGGCGGCAUGCCUUACACAUGCAAGUCGAACGGUAACGGGCCUUCGGGUGCCGACGAGUGGCGAACGGGUGAGUAAUGCAUCGGAACGUACCUUUCAGUGGGGGAUAACGUAGCGAAAGUUACGCUAAUACCGCAUAUUCUGUGAGCAGGAAAGCAGGGGAUCGCAAGACCUUGCGCUGAUUGAGCGGCCGAUGUCAGAUUAGCUAGUUGGUGAGGUAAAGGCUCACCAAGGCGACGAUCUGUAGCGGGUCUGAGAGGAUGAUCCGCCACACUGGAACUGAGACACGGUCCAGACUCCUACGGGAGGCAGCAGUGGGGAAUUUUGGACAAUGGGGGCAACCCUGAUCCAGCCAUGCCGCGUGAGUGAAGAAGGCCUUCGGGUUGUAAAGCUCUUUUCAGCCGGGAAGAAACGCACUCUCUAACAUAGGGUGUGGAUGACGGUACCGGACCAAGAAGCACCGGCUAACUAACGUGCCAGCAGCCCGG
rnacentral:rRNA from 1 species